AAACACCGCGCCCGAUCCGCCCCUUCCUCCGGGGUUCGGCUGCCCCGCGGGGAGCGCGGAGGCACACCGUCUCCUACUCCCACCCAGCUCCUAGAAUGUAGGAGAGUGUAGAGUUCAAAAAGCCCGGAAGUAAAACAACCCCAGGUUAAGAAAGUAAGGGUAAGCUCUAGCAGUCGGCAAAAGCGCUCGGCAAAAAAACCCCGACUUCUCCAGAAAAACUUUGCGGCAAGUUAAGCGGAAGCGCUGAAUGGCCGGGACUAUUUAACUCGCGCUUCCUCUCACAAGAGGCGGAUCCCUGGACCUGUUUGGGGGACCCUGACGGUCCACAAACUCGCCGUUUGCCUGCUGGGUGGCCCUCUAGAAGUUCUGACAUCCUAAAAGGUCUGGGCAGUCCCGCUGACGGGGAAUACCUGUCGUAGUACCCAUUGCCUGCGAGUCCCUGAUGGCGGCCAUUACACUUCCAUCCGGGUAUUGCCGAAAAGCUGAUCGCAGCGCUACCGGGAGCGCACGCUGCGGCGGAGGGAUCUGCGCUUUACCUGAGACAAGCGGAAGAGAACGGAGGCCGGCAGGGUCCGCGCUCGGUCUGACGAGACUAGGCCAUGGAGCUGGGUUCGCCGCUGACCUCUCCAUCUAGCGCGCGGCCCCGGCGCCCACCAGUCCAGUGACCCACUACUACCUCUUUGCUCACCAGCAGCUGCUGAUCUUACUGCCGGUGAAAUGGCAGACAAACGUCUACUCUGUGCUCUUCAGAGUAGACACCAGGAGCAGGAACUGUAUGCACUUCCCAAGCCCUUGCUGACUGGGAAUGGUCUCCACCCUGAGAUUUUAACCAGUUCCGGUUUAGCAAAUGGCGCCUCCCCACCUCUGGCUUCUGGCACGCAGGUUUUAGCAACCAUUGUAGCCCACGUCAACGAAAGAAGCUGCCGCCAGUAGUUCUAGAAGACAUACUGAACUCCAAACCUGUAUAUAUUGAAUAAUUGAUCAAAAACUAUCUUCACAAUGAGGGAGGCUCACAUCUCCCUCAAACGAAUACUUCCUCUACCUGACAACAGGGCUGGACAGUUAAUAUGGUUGGCUUUACCCCAAAGGCCAGUGUGGCUCCUCUUCUGUUCUUUAUAAAUCCAACCUACUAAUUGAUACCUCACUUUCUACAUAAUUCUACAUAAAUUAUCUUCCUUUUAAAAUGUGGGGAGGGAAUAAGUGGCGGCAAACGUUUAAGCAACAACAAAAAACCUUGGCGCAGAAGGAUAUACCAAUAAAUUGAAAGUGAAACUAUGAUCAGAUUUUUCAUUUUUUAAUGUUCCGUGUUUUCUUAAGUAGCAUGUAUGACAUUUAUAAUUUUUAAAAAUUUUUUAAAAUAUGUGUAUGAUACAUAUUUUUCAUUGUCUUAGGGCAGGCUUUUGAAAAUGUCAGCCUGUAGCCAAAUGCAAGAUUUUCUCCAUCCUUUAAUAAAAAGCACACUGAGAAAUCCUCA
rnacentral:lncRNA from 1 species